rnacentral:ncRNA from 1 species
CAACAAACUAGCUUGACGAAGCGAAAAGCAGACUACGACUGCCUGUUUGUUGUUAUUGUUAAUCGUAG